CUAUCUCUCUCUCUCUCUCCUCUUUCUCUCUCACGGCUACUUUGGGAUCUCUCCAGCUGCAGCAACCUAAUAACCCAUUAGGUAUCUAGAUCUGCUACUCUCUUGUUUUCUAGGGUUUUGGAUCUAUUUUUUGCACCUUGCAAGGUUUUUUGACUGGUUAUGGUGGGGAUUUACUAGAUCUAGAACUAGGGUUUGGAUUUCAGAAAAUUCAAGUGAGAAGAUGCUUUUUCUUUUUCCAUUUUUCAUCUGUGGAUUUCUUGUGUAUUUUUCAGGACUUUCUCCUCUCUUGAGCUGAGAGAGUAAAAAGACAGAUCCGGAUCUCAUUCCACGCUCUUCCAUCUCCAAUUUAAGAUCCAUGCAUUUCCCUCUUGAAGUCGCUGGACAAAGUUGCAGAGGGAGUUUCUCCAGCUCUGAAAUUGCGAUCUGACAAUCUCUGAGAUGAAGGUAUAACUUACCACGUGUAUAUAUGAUGUGCCAUGUUAUUUUAAAAUACACUCUUGGUCAAUGAUGUUAUCCAUUUCAGUUUUGUAGUUCUGGCCAACAACAAGCUUUCCAUUCCUUCCACCAUGUUAUUGCAAGAGCUCGAAAUUGGAAAUUGAAACAUGGCUGAAUAAAAGGGCAUGGAGAAAUUUAAGUUCCACAAUGCCCUUUUGUGUUGGGUGUAGUCUAGGGGGUCUGAGAUCAUGUCCCCUGAUCAGACUCUUUAUCAUCCAGUUUUGUCUUAUUUUAGUCAUGCAUGUAUCACCCUUGCUUUUACUUAGAUGCAUUUGGUCGAAAAGCGAAUUGAAUUGCAAAAUGAGUGGGAAAAUUGGUAAUUAAGGAAUUUUCGUAGCAUCAGCAAUGAGGAAGUAGCCCUUGAGCUGCAGUUACUUCCAGGUUUCAAAUUGCAAAGAAAUGAAAUCACCAUUUGGGUUUCUUUUGUGUUAUUAGACUAGCAAUUGUUGCAAUUCAAUGGUGCACCCAAAUGAUCCCUUUGACCUUUUAAUGGUUCUACCUAAUCAUGUAAUUGUUGAUUGAUUCCAUCUGUAUUGUUCAUCAGUGUGAUUUUGCUCUAUUAAAUAAUUUGAAAAUUUGGGAA